UGCACUUAUUGAAUCGACUGA
rnacentral:piRNA from 1 species